rnacentral:rRNA from 1 species
GAUGAACGCUGGCGGCGUGCUUAAUACAUGCAAGUCGAGCGAACGGACGAGAAUCUUGCUUCUCUGAUGUUAGCGGCGGACGGGUGAGUAACACGUGGAUAACCUACCUAUAAGACUUGGAUAACUGCGGGAAACGGUAGCUAAUACCGUAUAUUAUUUUGAACCGCAUGGUUCAUAAGUGAAAGACGGUCUUGCUGUUACGUAUAGAUGGAUUCGCGCUGCAGUAGGUGGUUGGUAAGGUAACGGCUUACCAAGGCAACGAUGCAUAGCCGACGUGAGAGGGUGAUCGUCCCCACUGAAACUGAGACACGGUCCCGACUCCGACGGCAGGCAGCAGUAGGAGGUCUUCAGAAAUGGGCGAAAGCGUGACGGAGCAACAGCGAGUGAGUGAUGAAGAUCUUCGGAUCGUAAAACUCUGUUAUUAGGAAAAAACAUAUGUGUAAGUAACUGUGCACAUCUUGACGGUACCUAAUCAGAAAGCCACGGCUAACUACGUG